rnacentral:rRNA from 1 species
AUGGUCCUUGAUGGCAACUGGGUUCACUAUGAAGACCGGAAGUGCAACCUCUACACAUUUUCGUCCACCGAGCCCAGCUGGAGCGCCCCAACAAUGUGCUAUGAAAAAAUUUGGUGGGGUGAAAACUCGGGCUUUGUGUUUCCACAUUCUAGCAGUGCUGUCUUGUAUCGUGCCGUGGUGCACUGGUUUCUCCCGUACUUCGAUGAGUAUGAAGGCUUGAAUAAAUAUUACACCUACGAAGAAAGUGGCAACCUGCGGCUAGACAUAUGGACACGAGGAAAUAACCUAGAUGACCAAGCAUGGCUCCGUGGUAAGGUGAUUGAGCUGAAACUACCAAGGCAAAAGUGGAAUCAUUGCUUUAUUAGCAACAUGUGGUGGGGUGAGAAGAGCGGUACAUUGCUCAUCAUAGAUGACUUUUCUUGCGUGUAUAGGGUUGAUGUUGAAAAUAGGUUGAUUGAAGAGGAGAAAUGUCGGAACGGACUACACCGUCCGGUGCCUGUGGAGAUAGACUGGCCACCGAUGUUUGUAUCUCGUUUAGGAUCAGUUGGAGUAUACACUUGA